AAAUUGAAGAGUUUGAUCAUGGCUCAGAUUGAACGCUGGCGGCAGGCCUAACACAUGCAAGUCGAACGGUAGCACAGAGAGCUUGCUCUCGGGUGACGAGUGGCGGACGGGUGAGUAAUGUCUGGGAAACUGCCCGAUGGAGGGGGAUAACUACUGGAAACGGUAGCUAAUACCGCAUAACGUCGCAAGACCAAAGUGGGGGACCUUCGGGCCUCACACCAUCGGAUGUGCCCAGAUGGGAUUAGCUAGUAGGUGGGGUAACGGCUCACCUAGGCGACGAUCCCUAGCUGGUCUGAGAGGAUGACCAGCCACACUGGAACUGAGACACGGUCCAGACUCCUACGGGAGGCAGCAGUGGGGAAUAUUGCACAAUGGGCGCAAGCCUGAUGCAGCCAUGCCGCGUGUAUGAAGAAGGCCUUCGGGUUGUAAAGUACUUUCAGCGAGGAGGAAGGCGUUGUGGUUAAUAACCACAGCGAUUGACGUUACUCGCAGAAGAAGCACCGGCUAACUCCGUGCCAGCAGCCGCGGUAAUACGGAGGGUGCAAGCGUUAAUCGGAAUUACUGGGCGUAAAGCGCACGCAGGCGGUUUGUUAAGUCAGAUGUGAAAUCCCCGGGCUCAACCUGGGAACUGCAUUUGAAACUGGCAAGCUUGAGUCUCGUAGAGGGGGGUAGAAUUCCAGGUGUAGCGGUGAAAUGCGUAGAGAUCUGGAGGAAUACCGGUGGCGAAGGCGGCCCCCUGGACAAAGACUGACGCUCAGGUGCGAAAGCGUGGGGAGCAAACAGGAUUAGAUACC
rnacentral:rRNA from 1 species